UGACAUAUUAGGCCAAGAAAAUGAAAAAAUUUAAAUCAUAUGGUAGUUCUACCCUACCUUGAUAUCAUUGUACCAUUGGUAAAAUGUUCUUCGACUUUCCCAGAUCAGUUAUCUACGGUCGUUGUGAUGUGUGUUGUGAAAUUUGGUUUUGUGACAAAAUUCUGGCCGCCCGGACAAAUUCAAUUUUAAUUGCGGCUAGUUACCCUCCAAAUAAGGCAUAUUUGGUGCAAUCACAAUUUUGGCAAACUACUCAACUCGAUUUGUGCGAUUCACAUAAAAAUGCAAAGAAAGUCUUUGGAGAUUAUUGAAUUCUAUCCGGGAUUCUAGGGUCUUUGUAUUAGUAGAAACAGGCUAUGUCUUAAAAUGUGGUGUAUACAUUGACGCUUGUGUGUGGCUAAUGGAUAUGGAAUCCUAAAUAAAAUCGUACUUCGAUUUCA